UACGUAGGUGGCGAGCGUUGUCCGGAAUCAUUGGGCGUAAAGGGAGCGCAGGCGGGAGAGCAAGUCUGUCUUAAAAGUGCGGGGCUCAACCCCGUGAGGGGAUAGAAACUGUUCUUCUUGAGUGCAGGAGAGGAAAGCGGAAUUCCUAGUGUAGCGGUGAAAUGCGUAGAUAUUAGGAGGAACACCAGUGGCGAAGGCGGCUUUCUGGACUGUAACUGACGCUGAGGCUCGAAAGCCAGGGGAGCGAACGGG
rnacentral:rRNA from 1 species